UACGGAGGGGGCUAGCGUUGUUCGGAAUUACUGGGCGUAAAGCGCGCGUAGGCGGCUCUGCAAGUCGGGGGUGAAAUCCCGAGGCUCAACCUCGGAACUGCCUUCGAUACUGCGGGUCUCGAGUCCGGGAGAGGUGAGUGGAAUUCCUAGUGUAGAGGUGAAAUUCGUAGAUAUUAGGAAGAACACCAGUGGCGAAGGCGGCUCACUGGCCCGGUACUGACGCUGAGGCGCGAAAGCGUGGGGAGCAAACAGG
rnacentral:rRNA from 1 species